UCCAAACUCCUACGGGAGGCAGCAGUGAGGAAUAUUGGUCAAUGGGCGAGAGCCUGAACCAGCCAAGUACGUGAGGGAUGACUGCCCUAUGGGUUGUAAACCUCUUUUAUACGGGAAUAAAAUGCGCCACGUGUGGUGUUUUGCAUGUACCGUAAGAAUAAGCAUCGGCUAAUUCCGUGGCAGCCGCGGUAAUACGGAAGAUGCGAGCGUUAUCG
rnacentral:rRNA from 1 species